rnacentral:tRNA from 1 species
GGGGUUGUGGCUCAGUGGUAGAGCGCUCACCUACCACGUGUGAGGCACUGGGUUCGAUCCUCAGCACCACA